AGUCCGAGGGGCAGCGGGGUUGUAGCCAUACGACUGCCGGCGACCGGCGCACGGGUGAGUAACACGUAUCCCACCUUCCGGUUACUCGGGAAUAGCCUUUCCAAAGAAAGAUUAAUGCCCGAUGGUAUAACAAGUCUGCAUGGAGUUGUUAUUAAAGAUUUAUCGGUAACCGAUGGGGAUGCGUUCCAUUAGGCAGUUGGCGGGGUAACGGCCCACCAAACCGACGAUGGAUAGGGGUUCUGAGAGGAAGGUCCCCCACAUUGGAACUGAGACACGGUCCAAACUCCUACGGGAGGCAGCAGUGAGGAAUAUUGGUCAAUGGGCGAGAGCCUGAACCAGCCAAGUAGCGUGAAGGAUGACUGCCCUAUGGGUUGUAAACUUCUUUUAUGCCGGGAAUAACAAGCGGCACGUGUGCCGUUCUGCAUGUACCGUAUG
rnacentral:rRNA from 1 species